CGCUAGACUCACCACAGUUAUGUCCAUGCCUGUUUUGUGACUGUGCCAGUGUCCAUACUGGAUUCCCAGUGCUGUAUCACAAGUGCCAAACAGAAGAGCACAACCCUUUCUCUUGACCUGCUGGCUACGUUCUUGCUUUCUGUGCAGCUGGCUUUUGCUGCAAGGACAUGUUUCAGAUUCACAUUGAACUUAUCAUCCACCAGACCUGCAGCUGUUUUCUCUAUGUCCUACUCUGUAUGGAUAGUUCUGGAAGCAGCAGCAUCUUUCUGACAAACCCACCCUCAUCCUGUAAUUCCCUGAAUCUCAGGCUGGAAGCAUGCAAGGAUGUGCCCAACUGCUGUCUACCCAUGUGUAUCCAUAAAACGGCACACUGACUAGUCACACAAAGAGGACACCUGGCCAACACAGCAGGAAAUGAGUAUCAGUGAACCCAAGCAUGUCUCUCCGAAAGACAUGCAGCUUUGGGUCAGUGUCUACUGAUGACUGGAGAAAAGAAUCCACCAUUCAAAGGAUCAUAUACACUUCAUCUGACGUCUGAUAAGCAAAACUUUGAUAGUUUUGGUUCCAUGUCAUCUUCCAAACACUUUGCAUUUGUUUGGGUUUUUGCUUGUUUUUAAAGAAGCGAUAAAUUUAAAAGGAAAAGAGGGCCUUUUGGCCAAUAGCAGUUUUCUCUGAUUGUAGUUCCACAAAGGCACCCUAAGACUGACUAACUCAGUUGUAUGCGGGGG